CCACCACCACCCUGACCUGCAUUGCUGCAUUAACCCAGCACCUGUGUCAUCCUCAUUUUCCUCUUAGUUUCACACUUUACAUGUGCUCGGCCUCCUGCAGUCUCAGCACCAGAGAAGCUCCCUCAGGACAGACUGCUUUCCUUCCUGGGGGAUGGAACCAACAGCUUCCGUGGAUUCGCACAACCCAUCAAGCUGGCAGGAGCUACUCAGUGGCCUUGGGCUUGGAAAUCAAUGAAGUGAAUCUCCUCUUGGAACAAAACCACACGAUGGUAGGCCAGUUUCCACACAUGAUUACGUGACUGACUCACCGAGGGAGUGACCGGGCACACCAGCUGAGGCGGUGACUUCAUUGAGGAAGAGGAAGCUUAGGCUACAUCCCACCAAGGUGUGUCAUUUUCAUCUUAAGAAGAGGAUAGACUUAUGCAAGUUGCCAGGUCGUGUUCUAUCUCCAGGCACUGUUUUCCUGUCUGCCCAUCUUUUUGUAUUUAAAGUUAUCCAGAGAACACGUCCAGUUGAAAAGA